UUUUUUAUUUUUCUCUCUCUAGAUGAAUAGAGUCCAUAGGAACGAAGGAUGAUCCAGGCUUAGAGUUUGAGCUAGCAAGCUUAGCAGUUUUAUAGAAGAAUUUUAGUAUUUUAAAUUGACUAUAAAUUUGUAGUCAAUGAUUUUUUGAAUAUUGAGGAUUAUGGGUUUGGUAUUUAUGUUUGGAUUUAGACGCUCUAAACCAAUAUUAGUUGCAUUUAAUGGCUAAUAAAAUUGAAUUCCUAUUUAUUCCAAUAUAUUUGAGAUAGAUUGAAAGCUAAACAGAAUGUUGGCUUCUGGGCUGUACUGCUCGAUAGCACUGCCAUGCUAUGCUCCGAAUCUGAGGCGUAACAAAUAUGGUAUCAGAACAAUAGGCUUCAUCAUGGGUUAAGCUUAAAAGCCUAGUGAUGGGCAGAACUUAAGCUUAGGCUUAUGAUUUGUAUAUUUAGGCAAGUGACAGGUAUAGAAGAGUUAAUUUUCAUCAGAGUUGCACAGCGAAAGCACGAUAGAGUAUUAGAUGAAGACUUAGACCCCCAUUUUUUUGAAAAUAAAGGUACAUUAAGUUUCGAGGACGAAAUUUUUUAAAGGAUAGAAUGUGAGGCCCAACUUCAUUGGGCCGGCCUGUUGGUCCGACUCA
rnacentral:lncRNA from 1 species